rnacentral:rRNA from 1 species
GGACUACCGGGGUUUCUAAUCCUGUUUGAUCCCCUUGCUUUCGCGCCUCAGCGUCAGGUAUAAGCUAGAAAACCGCUUUCGCCACCGGUGUUCUUCCACAUAUCUACGCAUUUCACCGCUACUUGUGGAAUUCCGUUUUCUCCGCCUACCCUCUAGGCUUUCAGUUUCGGAUGCAGUUCCAGGGUUGAGCCCUGGGAUUUCACAUCCGACUUGAAAGUCAGCCUACGCGCCCUAUACGCCCAAUAAUUCCGAUUAAUGCUUGCACCCUACGUAUUACCGCGGCUGCUGGCAC